rnacentral:tRNA from 1 species
GCAGGUAUGGCGGAAUUGGCAGACGCGCUAGACUUAGGAUCUAGUGGAUUACUCCGUGGGGGUUCAAGUCCCUUUACCUGCACCA